rnacentral:rRNA from 1 species
UACGUAGGGUGCAAGCGUUAAUCGGAAUUACUGGGCGUAGAGCGUGCGCAGGCGGCUAUGCAAGACAGAUGUGAAAUCCCCGGGCUUAACCUGGGAACUGCAUUUGUGACUGCAUGGCUAGAGUGCGGCAGAGGGGGAUGGAAUUCCGCGUGUAGCAGUGAAAUGCGUAGAUAUGCGGAGGAACACCGAUGGCGAAGGCAAUCCCCUGGGCCUGCACUGACGCUCAUGCACGAAAGCGUGGGGAGCAAACAGG